UAUGGAGAUGCAGAUUUCAUCUUCCAGCAAGACCUGGCCCCGGCCCAUACCGCCAGAAGCACCAAAAUCUGGUUUGAUGCCCAUGCCAUCACAGUGCUUGACUGGCCUGUCAACUCGCCGGAUCUAAACCCCAUUAUGAAUAUUUAAGUCAAGAUGGACGCUGCACUCUAUAACACCGGUUUUACCCUGCCGAACAGCAAAAACUGCAAUGAUUAUGAAAAGGGAUAGAAUAGAAGAAAAGAAAAUGUAUCAUUAUAAUGACAUUGUUUCAAUAGUUUCAACAAAGUAAAAUAAAGGCCAAUUAUUUCA